GCUCACAGAGUAUCUGGCGCUUACAAUAAUAGCUUUUUCUGGUGCUUACAAGAACGGCUUUUUGGCGCACCUCAUGGGGAAUAAGUUGUUUUACCGCAACCAUGCAAGUCAGAUGGAAGCUCUGAAUCUACUUUAAGCUCUCCUCCUUGGGCUGGGAAGAAAACAAUUACAGGAUCAACACUUUGUUUAGGUCAGAGUGGACUUUGUUUGAAUCAGUUGAAAGGCAGUCUGAAAACGGGUACCUAAAAGGACAGCAUUUUCCGUUUAUGAUGCUGUAGGAAGAUUGUCAUACGGCCACACAAGAUGGGGAUUUGGAAUCUGCCUGUGAACCGUACCCCUAAUGUUUCAUUCGGCUAGGUAAUUGAACAGUUAUGGCACAGA